AACACAACCAGCUGGUCUAACAAUGCAAGCUUCUCAUCUUCAAGUGUCUUGACCUCCUCUUCUACCAUCUGCAACUCUCUCCCCAGUCCAAAGCUUUCUUCCUCCAACAGCAAAUACUUCCUUCUGAGAGCACGAUAUUCAUUCCCUGAUGUAGAGGAGUCGGGCAAUGAAUCUGAGUUUGAUCUCUCCUGUUGCUGGAUCAUCGGAGACCCCUCAUUCUUCAAGCUCCUUUUGGAAGCCUUCUGGUUUGCUCUUAAAGGCCCCUUUACGUGUUGAACCUCUCUGAUGUCAUUACCUUGAAAAGGAUUCAAGGAAGCUCUAGAGGUUGAGAUCUUUUUGCGUGGCUCGGAGUUUGUGAUUUCCCCUGAAGGUAGCAUCCUUGGAUCUUGCAUGAUCUUAGCAAGCAGAAUCGAUUUGGGUAUGCAUGUCGUUUAUCUUCUUCAUCUCUCUGUUAUGCUCCUUUUUUCUGUAGAACGGGAGGAGAAGACGAAGGCGGUGGUGGCACUGAUAGGGUUAGCCGGAUUUUUGAGAAUGAGCGGAAAUGGAGGACUAACCCACGGAAUAG
rnacentral:misc_RNA from 1 species